rnacentral:rRNA from 1 species
UGCCUGCCCGGUGAUUUUUUUUAUUUAACGGCUGCGGUACUCUGACCGUGCAAAGGUAGCAUAAUCAUUAGCCUGCUAAUUUCAGGCUGGAAUCAAUGGCAAGACGAAGGGGGAGCUGUCUCUUUAUAUUUAACUUGAAUUUUACAUUUUGGUAAAAAGGCCAAAAUUAAUUAGUGGGACGAGAAGACCCUAUUGAGUUUUAAUAAAAUACCAGAUGAGAAAGUUUGUGGUUUUAUUUUGGUUGGGGCAACGAGUUUUUUUAUUAAACAAAACUGUAAUAAUGACUUAAAUCAAGGUAAUAGACCCUAAUUUACAGGUUUAGAGAAAAAGAAAAAAUUACCAUAGGGAUAACAGCGUAAUUCUCUUUGAGAGUACUUAUUGACAAGGGAGUUUGCGACCUCGAUGUUGGAUCAGGAGACCUGGGGAUGCAGCAGUUCCCGAAGGUUGGUUUGUUCAACCAUAAAAAUCUU